GCAAGUCGAGCGGUAGAGAGGUGCUUGCACCUCUUGAGAGCGGCGGACGGGUGAGUAAAGCCUAGGAAUCUGCCUGGUAGUGGGGGAUAACGCUCGGAAACGGACGCUAAUACCGCAUACGUCCUACGGGAGAAAGCAGGGGACCUUCGGGCCUUGCGCUAUCAGAUGAGCCUAGGUCGGAUUAGCUAGUUGGUGAGGUAAUGGCUCACCAAGGCGACGAUCCGUAACUGGUCUGAGAGGAUGAUCAGUCACACUGGAACUGAGACACGGUCCAGACUCCUACGGGAGGCAGCAGUGGGGAAUAUUGGACAAUGGGCGAAAGCCUGAUCCAGCCAUGCCGCGUGUGUGAAGAAGGUCUUCGGAUUGUAAAGCACUUUAAGUUGGGAGGAAGGGCAUUAACCUAAUACGUUAGUGUUUUGACGUUACCGACAGAAUAAGCACCGGCUAACUCUGUGCCAGCAGCCGCGGUAAUACAGAGGGUGCAAGCGUUAAUCGGAAUUACUGGGCGUAAAGCGCGCGUAGGUGGUUCGUUAAGUUGGAUGUGAAAUCCCCGGGCUCAACCUGGGAACUGCAUUCAAAACUGUCGAGCUAGAGUAUGGUAGAGGGUGGUGGAAUUUCCUGUGUAGCGGUGAAAU
rnacentral:rRNA from 1 species